rnacentral:misc_RNA from 1 species
GAACGCACAUUGCGCCCGCCCGUAUUCUGGCGGGCAUGCCUGUUCGAGCGUCAUUACAACCCUCAGGCCCCCGGGCCUGGCGUUGGGGAUCGGCGGAGCCCCCCGUGGGCACACGCCGUCCCCCAAAUACAGUGGCGGUCCCCCCGCAGCUUCCAUUGCGUAGUAGCUAACACCUCGCAACUGGAGAGCGGCGCGGCCACGCCGUAAAACACCCAACUUCUGAAUGUUGACCUCGAAUCAGGUAGGAAUACCCGCUGAACUUAAG